UGUAUGAAUAUCCAGUUGGAACACUUCCACUUACUGGGGGAAAGAAAACUUUUUCACUAUUGGAUUACUGUGACGCCUUUGUCAAAAUCUCCUGACAUUAUAUAUGUUGGUCUGUUCCUCGGUCACAUAUUCUAUUCCAUUCAUCUAUGUAUCCAUUCUUAUACCAAAUCUACACUGUCCAAUUUAUGUAGCUUCACGGCAAGUCUUUAAAUCAGAUAAAGUAAUUUCUCCAACUUUUUCAUCUUUUACAAAUGAAGAAAGCCAAUUUGAUUUGAUUUCAGAACAACCUGUUGGCCAACAACAACCUCACAGAUAGAUACAAUUCUGAAUGAUAGGCACACUACCACCAAUUUCAAAUACUUUUCUACCCCAAAUUAAGUUUCUUCAUUCAGUGUAAGCAUUACUUCUACUUCAAUACGGUGCUCUGCCAAAAUUUAUAUUUGUAUUAUCACCAGAAACAUGAAUUAUUUUACCUAUAGUGAUCAACUUUUUAACUAAAUCUAUGAUAACAUUCACAAUAAUGGAAGAAAUGGCAGAUGUUUCACCUUUGACCGAAUGAACUUUCAAAUAGUUUGCUCUUUUAUUUUAUGAAUUGAAUGUAAAAGUGGAACCACUAUUGAAAUGAAUUGAAUUGAGUUUCUAUUUGAAAUAUCUGAUAUAAUGCAUAUAAAUCAGGCAUCAUUUAACUAUUUGCAAACUUCUGCUGCUGCUAAUGGAGACAAUACAUUAACAGCUUCGGCUUUAUUUCUUGUAAAUGCACAAGAAAAAAAUAUAUAUUGGGUAUCUGUUGUGUACCACUUCAGAUUAUCUCAGCCUCCCUGGUUCCACUUGGUUUUCCCACUGGUGCAUCCUAAAAGUCUUUCACCUCAGCUCUGUAUCUUCAGUUUGGAUUUCUUUGUGUUCCAGAGCUUCAUUGCAAGACACCUUGCAGAAUAUUUCACAUACAUAUACAACAUAGAAGUAAGGUAAUGGCUCCUGGAAGGAACGUGUAACCAAUGGGUCGGCUGUUGAAUGCUACCCCUUUCUUCAUCUAAGGGACUGUCUUGGAAUGUGUUUAAUAUGGCUCUUCAGGUAGCUGGAUGGAUCGAACAGACACCCCCAAGAGAUCACCCAGUUCCAGAACUCCCAUGGGAUCAGUUGAGGCUUCUGCUGCACCUGCAUCACAAUUCAAUUUUCCUACUGCCCAAUCCUGCUUCCCUUGCUCCCUCACAGGUGCUGUUCCCAAUAACCCCCUGGAGGCAAACCUACAUUUCAGAGUCUAUUCUUCAAAAAUCCAGCCUAAGCUGCCAAAAGGGUUUUUUUUUUUUUGCAACAUUUUAAAAAAGCAUUACCAAACAAUGAAAUACAUGCUAUUUUCAUCAUGCAAUAAAUAAUAAAACCUCUGUACUGA